CAUCGGAGCAGCCCCAAUGCCAUUCCUACUUGCGUGCAAGCAGGAGGGCUUGGGGAUCCCUCAGCUGGGAAGGGAGGCUUCCCGUUGCCUAACUGAGAGAUCCCUGCCCCCUCCUGCUUGCACACAAGCUCUGAUAGCGUGAAGCCUCCCUUUACAGCUGAAAAAUCCCUGCUCCUGCUUGCAUGCAAGUAGGAGUUGGGCGGCUGCUCUGAUA